AAAGAUGAUCGGAGUAAAUUUAUUUUUCUGAAAUUAGUUUUGGAUGCACUGGAUCAAACCCAUAUCGUUUCUUUUUCCGUUCUCCAAUUACGGGAGAAAAUUCACUCCGCGGAGAGAGAGAGAGAGAGAUUGUGUGGUUGUUCAGCUGGAGGAAAGGAAAGGGCCUUCGGGGAUUUUGCAUAGCUCAGGAAGGAAUUCAAUGGACUUGUCCGACUGCCAUUGUAACAGGCUGGCUAAAGGAGAUGGAAGGAAGCUCGAUGUUUGUGAGGCAAUCUUGGAAGUCGGUCAUAGAGAUUCACUUUUGAGAGGCAUAUAGUCUUUGGAGGAGUGCGAUUGAGGAAAAUAUGGUAUGAUCAUGUCGGUUUCGUGGAGGACCUGGUGGAGUUUUAUAUGUGGUAGGCCUUUGGAAGAGUAUUAUGAGUAUCUGGUAGAAUUUCUUCCAUCUUCAGGGUGUGAAGAGUGUAAGCUCCAGAAAGUCGAGUUCUUUUGUGUUGGCACUUCCAUUAACAAAACAAAUUUCUCUGUAUCCAGUUUAUCGAGUGGUAUUUUAUUUUACUUAUCUUUUAUAGAGUCUAUUUAGGGAUUAUGUGGGAAGGGUCGCAUGAUUUUAUUUUUGGCAUGACUUACAUUUCCGUCAAUAAGGAAGCUCAUGUGGUAGAGAUAUUGGGCUGCUCAGUUGAGGAGGCCCUUCCCUAAUUGGGAGUUGGAAUUUUUAGGGACGGGGGACUCCCUUUAAAUGCUCCAACAUUGCCAGAUUCAAGGAGAGCGAGAACACAUCUUGUCUUGGAGACUUGCAAGGAGUGGUCGGUACUCGGUACAGUAACGGCAUUCUGAGUUACACUAAUCUUUUCAUUGGGAGGAGUCCAUUCUGACCCUGGAAAUAUAGCUUCGACCAAGAUGGUACUUUUUAUCAGAUUGGUGUUGCGUAUGUGCUAGUAGGGGAGGACACUAACCACCAGUUACUGCAUUGUUCAGUGACGAAUGAGGUGGGGAAUCUUGUUAUUUCCUCUUUAGUGUAUUUGGGCUGAUGCCUUGUACAAAGUGAAGCAACAUGUCACUACUGGGCUAGAGGGUUUUUGAUGAGCAGAUUUAGCGACUCUGUAUUUUGGGUUUUCUAGGAACGAGGGGAUAGGAGAUUUUUUGAGAAUGACAACAGCUGUUAUUGUGCCCGGAAAACUGAUUGCUAAUUUGCCCAAGGAAUUUUUUCCUUCUCACUCUUGAUUCUUGUGUUGAUCUUUUGAAGCAAAAGCUUAUUAAAAAGCUUGAAACUGGGCUCCGCAAAGUCUCCUCCAUUGCAAUCCUUCUUGGCUGUAUAUCUCCAAUUUUACAUUUUGGGUUUCUGGUUCCUAACUUUGAUGGAUAGAUGAUUUUGCUGUUGAUUUUGCUCCUAAUUUUAUUGGUUAACAAUUGUUGAGCUUCUAUUUUCUCGUGCAUAUGUCUGAGAUGCCCCUUUUUGUGCAGAUUAUAACAUGAUUGCUGGAAGCAGAGAGGGAAAAAUGUGUUGGUUUAUAUGGAAUUCUAAAGUAUGUUUUCAAUUUUUCCUCCACCCCUGCACGCAUGGUCGGACAAGAUGUUAUUUUUAAAGUUUUACCAUGAUUUGUUAGAUCAUGGAGAGUUAUGUUCAGAUUCCUCUUCCGUUUACUAGAAAUGAGUAGCUUCCGUAAAAGUAUGCUGAAAUUGGUACGUUUGGGUGAAUUCCAUCCAUAGUAGAUAUGCACUAACAAGAACGUAGAUGAGCAAAAACUUUCAUCCUUCUGUUGUGAUUUUGAGGGUAGCAUACUGAUAUGAUUAUUAUUUAUGAGUCUAUGACUAAGAGGAGCAAAAAUGCAUGUACAUACGCGAAAAGGUGCUUUGUAGAAAGGUUGGUGCUCUAGAUUGAACUUUAUGACCGGCCGUCUUUAAUGUGCUUGUUUUUCUUUUUUGUCCCUAUCUUAUUUUGAAAUUCGGUGUCGUUGCUCUAAUAUGGUCUGUAUAUAUUUCAGGUGCUAACCAAAAGGUACGAGUACUAGUGUGGCCUUUCAUCGUUCUUAUCCUCUAUUUGCAUCAUGCUCUGAUGGAGUAACCAACUGUAAGUUCCAUUCUCGGCAACCCAGGUUGUUUAUGGCAGUGCUGGUUCAGUGAUCAGACUUCAGUGUCACCAAGUAUCAGGAAGUGAUCUGUUCAAGAUUAAGUGGGGAAGAAAAGUAUUUCAGAAUGCUGAUAGGACAAUCUCACAAGGGAUGGAGGGCAGCUGAAGUAUGUAUCAGCGGAUAUAUUCAGUUUUUCUACUCUGGGAAGACAAAUAAGUCAUCUAAAAUGGCAACAAAUGCCUCCUUUCUCAAAUGCCUACUUUCACUUCAAUAAUGUCAGUCUCCAAUGAGCGUGCUUGAACACUAUCUAUGUUCGUAUCAAUAAUUGAAUUUGCAGACUUGUAUGGUCCCGCAUAGAAUGUUCCUUUUUAGCAGUCCAGUUCAUGUUUAAUUUUGGGGACAAUUCAUUUUGACUCGUAAAGCUGAAACUCUUUGGCAAA